GCCGCCUCCCGAUCGCGCCCCGCGGUCCCCCCCGGGGCAUGAACCGCCCCCCGGCGGGCCGAAACCGGCCAAACCGGCUAAACCGCCCCGAUCAUGCCCAUUUUUCGGCGUUCAAACCGCCGCACGGCUACCCCCCCAUCCCGAUGCCCCCGGACCCCUGGUCCCGUGGGACCUGACGGAAACGGAAUCGGAUGCUCGGAUCAUGAGAUACGCCCAAAACCGUCUAAACCUUCUGAGCGCACCCCGAACAUGCCCAUUUUUCGGCGUUCAAACCGCCGCGCGGCUACCGCCCCAUCCCGAUGCCCCCGGAACCCUGGUCCCGCGGGACCCGACGGAAACGGAAUCGGAGGCCCGGAUCAUGAGUUACGGCCCCUUCUUUGCGGCCCCCGAGGACGUGCGCUAUAGCCCCCCGGGCCACCCCCCAUCCGGCCGCACCCGCCCGAACCCCACCGAACGCGUCCGCCGCCUCCCGAUCCCGCCCCGCGGUCCCCCCCGGGGCAUGAACCGCCCCCCGGCGGGCCGAAACCGGCCAAACCGGCUAAACCGCCCCGAUCAUGCCCAUUUUUCGGCGUUCAAACCGCCGCACGGCUACCCCCCCAUCCCGAUGCCCCCGGACCCCUGGUCCCGUGGGACCUGACGGAAACGGAAUCGGAUGCUCGGAUCAUGAGAUACGCCCAAAACCGUCUAAACCUACUGAGCGCACCCCGAACAUGCCCAUUUUUCGGCGUUCAAACCGCCGCGCGGCUACCCCCCCAUCCCGAUGCCCCCGGAACCCUGGUCCCGCGGGACCCGACGGAAACGGAAUCGGAGGCCCGGAUCAUGAGUUACGGCCCCUUCUUUGCGGCCCCCGAGGACGUGCGCUAUAGCCCCCCGGGCCACCCCCCAUCCGGCCGCACCCGCCCGAACCCCACCGAACGCGUCCGCCGCCUCCCGAUCCCGCCCCGCGGUCCCCCCCGGGGCAUGAACCAGCCCCCGGCGGGCCGAAACCGGCCAAACCGGCUAAACCGCCCCGAUCAUGCCCAUUUUUCGGCGUUCAAACCGCCGCACGGCUUCCCCCCCAUCCCGAUGCCCCCGGACCCCUGGUCCCGUGGGACCUGGCGGAAACGGAAUCGGAUGCUCGGAUCAUGAGAUACGCCCAAAACCGUCUAAACCUACUGAGCGCACCCCGAACAUGCCCAUUUUUCGGCGUUCAAACCGCCGCGCGGCUACCCCCCCAUCCCGAUGCCCCCGGAACCCUGGUCCCGCGGGACCCGACGGAAACGGAAUCAGAGGCCCGGAUCAUGAGUUACGGCCCCUUCUAUGCGGCCCCCGAGGACGUGCGCUAUAGCCCCCCGGGCCACCCCCCAUCCGGCCGCACCCGCCCGAACCCCACC
rnacentral:lncRNA from 1 species